AGUCCAUGUGAGUACGUGUGGGGCAAGGGAGAAAGCAUCGCUCCUGCCGAGAGCGGGGACAGAGCUCUGGGGAUCGUCUGAGAGGAUGAUCGGAGGGGGAGAAAUCUCCUGCCGACGUGGCAGCUCACUGUGAGCUGAGAAAUGGGCAGAGAAGUGGGCCCUGCGGGGGGGAAAGGCAGGAGCCAGCCCCUGGCAGGCCGCAGCUGAGAAAAAGCUUCUGGGUGAGGAGGCAGGCGUGUGUGCAGAGAGCGGGGGCAGCAGUGCCGCUGCUCAAUGAGGCGGGGGGGCACGUGGAGCCACAGGGCAGGCCCUGAGGGAAAGAAAGUGCCGGGAAGGGAGGGAGAGGGAUGGCAGGAAGGGAAAGAAAAGAUGUCCACAGUGACGCAGAUGCUCUGCCCCAGGUCCUGCGGAGGUCAGUCGCCUCAGACAAUGCAUGGGAGCGCAAGAGGGCCUUGCAGGCGUGCUCCCAGCUGCUGGCUGCUUGUGAAGAGCUUCGAACAGAAGAUGCCUGCAAGCACUUUGGCUCCUUGGUGGGAUUGCUGGCGCCUCUGACCUGUGACCCCAUGCCCGCGUCCCGCCAGUUGGCCGUCACCUGCCUGAGCUCCCUUCUCCGAAUCCAAGCCAAGGUGACCAACGCGCUCAUCAAGACGGGAGACAUCGGGAGCCUGCGUGAGGGGCUGAAUGCCGGCAGCACCAUCUCUCAGCUCCAGACCUCGUCCAAAAUCGCGAGGGUAGGUGGACCCAAAAAGGAGCGGGGGGAUCAGGCUUUGCAUGUGAGCAAGCACCAGGAGCAGAAGCUGAGAGAAGGCUCCGCCACUUGAUGUGUAAAGAGCAGGGUACGGGCGGCGGGAGCGUCGUGACGGCCGCCUGAAUGACCUGCGGCAAGCUGCUGAGCUAGGAAGGCCCUCGAGACUGCUCUCUGUUUCUCUGAAGAGCUGCCGCACAGCACUGAUGGCAUCUCUCCCGCUCCUCCUUUCUCUGCAGGUCUGUUGCAGCAGCUUCCCCCUGGAGCGCAGCGUGGACUUCAUGACCGCCAUCAGGGAGACCUUCCGGGAGGCCAAAGGGAUGCGUGCGCGUGCUGCUGGGAAGUGGAUGAUCACCUUUCUGCAGAUGCACGGGAAGGACAUCCACUGGGAGGUAAGAGGCUUUUGUGCAAGUGCCUUGGACUUUUUCUGGCUGUUGCACUACGCCUUGUGCCGUUUGCCUCUGGUGCGAAAGAAGUGCAGCCUGAGCGCAGAGCCAGGGCUUGGCCAGGGGGGCCGGCGUGAAACGGAGGCUUAGGCCUUGGCAGCACGGGAAGGGAGCCGGCAUUGCUCGUGCGCUGAAUGUCCUUGCUUAGGCCCUGCGGAGUCAGGGAUGCAGCAAGUCGUUCUUUCUUCCUUUCUUCUUGCAGGUGCCAUCGAUCCUCCACAUCCUGCGCAGCUGCAUGCGCUCCAUGCAGCAGACCAUGCUCCUGCCCAUCCUGUGCCAGGC
rnacentral:lncRNA from 1 species